AAAAAGAUAAGCUAAAUAAGCUUUUGGGUUCAUACCCCAAAUAUAAAGAUUUCUUUUCUUUUUA
rnacentral:tRNA from 1 species